CAGCCGGGUAAUUCCAGCUCCAAUAGCGUAUAUUAAAGUUGUUGCAGUUAAAAAGCUCGUAGUUGAAUUUCGAGAUCAGUACGCUGGUCGUGCCUUCGGUAUGCACUGGUGUCACUGGUUUCUCCCUUCUGAAGAACCGUCAUGUCAUUAAGUUGGUGUGGCGGGGAAUCAGGACUGUUACUUUGAAAAAAUUAGAGUGUUUAAAGCAGGCUCGCGCUUGAAUACAUUAGCAUGGAAUAAUGAAAUAGGACGUUUGACCCUAUUUUGUUGGUUUCUAGGAUCGACGUAAUGAUUAAUAGGGAUAGUUGGGGGCAUUAGUAUUCAAUUGUCAGAGGUGAAAUUCUUGGAUUUAUUGAAGACUAACUACUGCGAAAGCAUUUGCCAAGGAUGUUUUCAUUAAUCAAGAACGAAAGUUAGGGGAUCGAAGACGAUCAGAUACCGUCGUAGUCUUAACCAUAAACUAUGCCGACUAGGGAUCGGAUGAUGUUAAUUUUUUAAUGACUCAUUCGGCGCCUUACG
rnacentral:rRNA from 1 species